UGGGGAAUAUUGCACAAUGGGGGAAACCCUGAUGCAGCGACGCCGCGUGAACGAAGAAGGUAUUCGUAUCGUAAAGUUCUGUCCUAUGGGAAGAUAAUGACAGUACCAUAGAAGAAAGCUCCGGCUAAAUACGUGCCAGCAGCCGCGGUAAUACGUAUGGAGCGAGCGUUGUCCGGAAUUAUUGGGCGUAAAGGGUACGCAGGCGGUUUAAUAAGUCGAAUGUUAAAGAUCGGGGCUCAACCCCGCAAAGCAUUGGAAACUGAUAAACUUGAGUAGUGGAGAGGAAAGGGGAAUUCCUAGUGUAGUGGUGAAAUACGUAGAUAUUAGGGGGAAUACCAGUAGCGAAGGCGACGUUCUGGACACAAACUGACGCUGAGGUACGAAAGCGUGGGGAGCAAACAGG
rnacentral:rRNA from 1 species